rnacentral:rRNA from 1 species
UACAGAGGGUGCAAGCGUUGUUCGGAAUUAUUGGGCGUAAAGCGCGUGUAGGCGGCUUGGUAAGUCAAAUGUGAAAGCCCUCGGCUCAACCGAGGAAGUGCGUUUGAAACUGUCGAGCUUGAGUGCCGGAGAGGAUGGCGGAAUUCCGCAAGUAGAGGUGAAAUUCGUAGAGAUGCGGAGGAACACCGGUGGCGAAGGCGGCCAUCUGGACGGCAACUGACGCUGAGACGCGAAAGCGUGGGGAGCAAACAGG